CUAUCUCUCUCCCUUCCUCUCUGAAAUCAAGAUGUUACAGAAAACCGGAAAAGAACCAAGCAAUGCUUAGAGAGAUGGAGUUACAUUUCUUAUUAUUA